rnacentral:rRNA from 1 species
CGUGUAGGCGGCUAUGCAAGUCGGAUGUGAAAGCCCUCGGCUCAACCGGGGAAGUGCACCCGAAACUGCAAAGCUAGAGUCUCGGAGAGGAUCGUGGAAUUCUCGGUGUAGAGGUGAAAUUCGUAGAUAUCGAGAGGAACACCGGUGGCGAAGGCGGCGAUCUGGACGAUGACUGACGCUGAGCGCGAAAGCGUGGGAGCAAACA